UCAGGACAGACAGGAGAGAGGUUUUUUUCUUUUUACACAGUAAAUCAGUGCUCAAGAGAUCAUCCCCCAGGGGCCUUUCUACAUUCUUAAUAUCCUAAGUGCAACAAGGGUCUUCUCUUCUCCAGAAUGGGGCACCACGACACACCCACCUAGGCAGCAUCUUACCAGGUCUGUCUUUAGCAAAAAAGAAACUCAUUUCUGCCCACCCCACUGAGAGAGGAGAGGCUGUGGAACAUCUUGUCACUCCUUUUCACCAUAAGCAUUUGAGCAAGGGGGCAGAGAGCUGUUAUGAGUGGUUGUUAGGCUGGAGUGUACAGGGUCCUAAGAAGCAGCAGAGUUAUUUAUCAAGGUGGAGAUGACAAGCACUGUGUGCUGCUGAGAAGACUGACUGGGAUUUCCUUUCCAUCCUGCAGCUUGCAACUCAGUGAUUAUUUUUGACAGGCUGACUGAACCUCAAGUGACAGGUCUGGGCAGAUGUUUCCCUUCACCCCUGUCCCACCUCAGGAUCACGUGACAAGAGAAUCUGAAAAUGUGGUGACAGUGGUGACAGUCCUUGGGAGCAUGCAAGCCCCAAGUCCAGAUGCUGCUGGGGUGUAAAUGCAAGGGUCAAAUGGGCUCUGGUAAUAAAACAGUUUUGAACUGUCAGCACUGAGCAAUCCCCUGGGAAAGACUCGACCUAGGAAUUCUCUCUUCUCCCUCACUAAGGUAAUCAAUGGUCCCUACGACCAAAACAAUUAGGACCUUGCAGAAUUGGGACUGGUGGGGACUUGGCAAAUUUCCUUUUUUUAAGUAUCAGUUAUGCAAAGGCAAGAGCAGAAUUUUUAGGUCUCGCCGAGCUCCAUUUCCUCCCAUUAACUCUGCAGCACUAAGAACAAAACCAUUCUCUUCUUCCCUCAAGAACAGCACUCUGACUCCAGUGCCCACAGGGAGCUGUUCUGAAAGGGCUGUUUGCUGCCUCUUGUUUUUCCAGAGUAUAAAACAUGUUUUAACAGGAAAGGGGAGAACAGGA